rnacentral:rRNA from 1 species
CACGUAGGAUCCGAGCGUUAUCCGAAUUUACUGGGCGUAAAGAGCGUGCAGGUGGUUUGAUAAGUUGGAUGUAAAAGCUCCUGGCUCAACUGGGAGAUGACGUUCAAAACUAUCAGACUUGAGGACGGUAGAGGGAGGUGGAAUUCCCGGUGUAGUAGUGAAAUGCGUAGAUAUCGGGAGGAACACCAGAGGCGAAGGCGGCCUCCUGGACCGUUUCUGACACUAAGACGCGAAAGCUAGGGGAG